rnacentral:misc_RNA from 1 species
AAGUCGUAACAAGGUUUCCGUAGGUGAACCUGCGGAAGGAUCAUUAUUGAAAUAAACCUGAUGGGUUGUUGGCUGGUUCUCUAGGGAGCAUGUGCACGCCUUGUCAUCUUUUAUGUCUCCACCUGUGCACUUUUUGUAGACCUUUCAGGCUCUAUGUUGCUUCAAUUUACCCCAAUAGUAUGUUAAUAGAAAUGUUGUGCCUAUAUAAUAUAUACAA